UACGAAGGGGGCUAGCGUUGCUCGGAAUUACUGGGCGUAAAGGGCGCGUAGGCGGACAGUUUAGUCAGAGGUGAAAGCCCAGGGCUCAACCUUGGAACUGCCUUUGAUACUGACUGUCUUGAGUUCGGGAGAGGUGAGUGGAAUGCCGAGUGUAGAGGUGAAAUUCGUAGAUAUUCGCAAGAACACCAGUGGCGAAGGCGGCCGACUGGUCCGGUUCUGACGCUGAGGCGCGAAAGCCAGGGGAGCGAACGGG
rnacentral:rRNA from 1 species